rnacentral:rRNA from 1 species
GAUGAACGCUGGCGGCGUGCCUAACACAUGCAAGUCGAGCGAUUCUCUUCGGAGAAGAGCGGCGGACGGGUGAGUAACGCGUGGGUAACCUGCCCUGUACACACGGAUAACAUACCGAAAGGUAUGCUAAUACGAGAUAAUAUGCUUUUAUCGCAUGGUAGAAGUAUCAAAGCUCCGGCGGUACAGGAUGGACCCGCGUCUGAUUAGCUAGUUGGUAAGGUAACGGCUUACCAAGGCGACGAUCAGUAGCCGACCUGAGAGGGUGAUCGGCCACAUUGGAACUGAGACACGGUCCAAACUCCUACGGGAGGCAGCAGUGGGGAAUAUUGCACAAUGGGCGAAAGCCUGAUGCAGCAACGCCGCGUGAGCGAUGAAGGCCU